rnacentral:rRNA from 1 species
CAGCAGCCGCGGUAAUACGUAGGGUGCGAGCGUUAAUCGGAAUUAUUGGGCGUAAAGGGUGCGUAGGCGGUUUGAUAAGUCAUCUGUGAAAUCUCUGGGCUCAACCCAGAGUCUGCAGGCGAAACUGUCGAGCUUGAGUAUUGGAGAGGUGAGUGGAAUUUCCGGUGUAGCGGUGAAAUGCGUAGAUAUCAGGAGGAACACCUGUGGCGAAAGCGGCUCACUGGACCAUAACUGACGCUGAGGCACAAAAGCUAGGGGAGCAAACAGGAUUAGAUACCCCGUAGUCCCUGUCUCUUAUACC